rnacentral:rRNA from 1 species
UCUGGUGGCAGUAAGGCUGUGGUCCGACCCGAUCCCUUCCCGAACUCGGCCGUCAAACACAGUGCUGCCGAUGGUAGUACCUCUAUAGGUUGUGCGAGAGUAGGUAGCCGCCAGAU